CUCUUUGCAUGUAUUGAAGAAACCAAGUGCUCUCUGCCAAGUGAAUGUUAUUCAGACUCCAUCGUCACAGCCAACUCCACUCUGUGUCUCAAAUCCUCCGACAUACACGUUGAGCCACUCAACAAACAGCAGGAAAGCCGUCCACAAGGAGCCUUGGCCAGCAGAUCCUGAUGUCAUCAGACACUGCCUUCAUCUUCUUUCCUGAAUGACUGUGAACAUUCUCCAGUAGUCACUGGGAUUCCUCUACUGCAGCCAAGCUUAAUUGGGAGCAGCAUAAGAAUCUUAAUAGCAGCAUAAGAAAUGGGACAUCACUACUACACCAUCAUUUAUCAUUAUACAUCAAGGUUGUAACAAGCACAUAGUAAGCACCAAUUUGUAAAAAAAAAUAAUUGUGUUCAAGUUUUUUGGACAUGACCACCAGAAAACAGUAGUUAUUAACCUUACACAUUACUAAUUGUUUUACACACUGUAAAGCCUAACAUUUUAGUUUAACUUGUAAUUUAAAAAAAGUUACUUUGACUA